rnacentral:rRNA from 1 species
CCUACGGGAGACAGCAGUGAGGAAUAUUGGUCAAUGGACGAGAGUCUGAACCAGCCAAGUAGCGUGAAGGAUGACUGCCCUAUGGGUUGUAAACUUCUUUUAUAAAGGAAUAAAACGAGGCACGUGUGCCUUUUUGCAUGUACUUUAUGAAUAAGCAUCGGCUAACUCCGUGCCAGCAGCCGCGGUAAUACGGAGGAUCCGAGCGUUAUCCGGAUUUAUUGGGUUUAAAGGGAGCGUAGAUGGUUUGUUAAGUCAGUUGUGAAAGUUUGCGGCUCAACCGUAAAAUUGCAAUUGAGACUGGCAGUCUUGAGUACAGUUGAGGUAGGCGGAAUUCGUGGUGUAGCGGUGAAAUGCUUAGAUAUCACGAAGAACUCCGAUUGCGAAGGCAGCCUACUAAGCUGCCACUGACAUUGAUGCUCGAAAGUGUGGGUAUCAAACAGGAUUAGAUACCCUAGUAGUC